AAUCGUGACGUACUUGCUCAUUAUAUUCAUUUUGCAAAUGUUGAACAAAGAAAAAGUUAUAGUGCUGCUUUGAACGGACUUCCGUCGGAUCCAGCUUCAGAAACUUGACAUCGAAUGCUAAUGCAAACAGCUAGCUUCUUCCAGAUACUGAGGAGACCUCAGGGGAAGGAGAUCUCCGGACCUGACUAUGCUGGGCUUCUACUGUCCACGCGCUGGCCACCAGAUUCCCUCUGGACUGCAGCUCUUCUCUGGCCGGCGUUGGUGUAGAUGGGUUAAGGUCAGCGCCGCAUGGAAGAUUACAGUAUGUGACAGGAACAGAUGCUGCAGAGUAGAGCAGCCCGUGGCCACAGCUGAACACAGAGCGGCCGGAUUUACUGGAAACCCUCAAACAAGCAACGAGCUGUGUCCUUUCAGACGGCACACGCUGCAAACACACACACACAGGAUUCGAUCAAGUUCACAUAUGGCUCCUAAUCUGACGGCACCCAUUCACUGCAUAAUAUCCGUCAGUGAGCAAAUAACGGACUGUGAAGAUACAUUUCUCCAAAUAUCAUUUGCAUCCCAGAUUGCCUGCCUGAAGG